rnacentral:rRNA from 1 species
UACGUAGGCAGCAAGCGUUGUUCGGAAUUACUGGGCGUAAAGAGUGUGUAGGCGGUGCUCUAAGUUCGGUGUGAAAUCUCCCGGCUUAACUGGGAGGGUGCGCCGGAAACUGGAGUGCUUGAGCGUGGGAGAGGAAAGCGGAAUUCCUGGUGUAGCGGUGAAAUGCGCAGAUAUCAGGAGGAACACCGGUGGCGAAGGCGGAUCUCUGGGCCUGUCCUGACGCUGAGGCGCGAAAGCUAGGGGAGCGAACAGG